AUGUUUAUCUCGGCAUCCCAAUUUAUCCUCUGCUGUUUUACAGUCUUCCUGUUUGUGUGCGUCUCUCUCAGGGAACCACAUGGAAAACAAAUGUCUGGGCCUUCUAUAAUCAUCACCAGCUGGUGCUCUGGAGCAAUGUCUGUUCAGCCAGACCUUGCUGAGCGACUUUACAAGUUUCUGUUGCAGUGGCGAUUGGGUGACUUCCCUUAUUCAGACCACAGGCAGCAGUGCAAGCUGUACACAGGAAACCAUGCCAUGAAAUUUCCUCCAUGCCAUUUUUCCUGUUUGCCUCCACUCUCUGAUUGCCAGUUAAAAUUUUGCAGGAAAGCCAACUGAGUACAAAAACAUAUUUCUUACAAAGGUAAUUAACUUCCAUAGAUCUAUAAAGUUGGAAGAAACAUUAGAGAAAAUAUUGCCAACCAAAGAAGGAAAUCAGGAACAAAGAAGGAAAAUUUUAAACUUUCAAUUUUAAAAUAUUGAACUUUUAUAUAUGCUUCCUUAUUCAACUCGUUGCCACUUUAAGAAGCAAAUAUUACGACCUGACUUGACAGGUGUGGAAACUGAGGGUCAGAGGUGAGGGAUCUAUCAGAGAACAUAAUAGCGUGUCUUACCCCAGAGACCACACCUUCUACUAGACUACGUGACUUCCAAUAACAAGACAGCCGAUGAGUGGGAAUCAGUAAGCAUCAGUGAGGAGUCAGGAAAAAAAUUUUUGCUCACAGAAAGGGCUUCUUGGGAAGUUUUCAGGGUAAGAAUAAGAUCUGAAAUUUCACUUGGAAUAAAUUUCUUAGCUAGAGAAUUGGAUUCUAUUUUGCCCUUUAUUUAUAGGGCAAUUUGGAGAAGGGCAUGGCAAUCCACUCCAGUAUCCUUGCCUGGAGAAUCCCCAUGGACAGAGGAGUCUGGCAGGCUACCAUCCAUGGGGUCGCAAAGAGUUGGACACAGCUGAGCCACUAAGCACAGCACGUAGGGCAAUACAAUUCUCCUUUGUUUUAAGGCUAUAAUUUUAAAAAAUCCAUUUAAGUUUAAAGAAUACUACUCUCUCAGUAUUCUUUUAAAGACUAUGAAAUGUGGCUGGAUUUUUCAAGAGUGCCAAGUGAAAUGUCGCUACAUGGGGAACGUCACGUUUCCUAGAAAUAGAAAAGGUCUGUGCUGAGCUCAUGCUUUCUGAUCCAUGGACUCACUUUCCACAUUCAUGAGUUUCUUUUCUUCUGGUGCUUUAGCUGCUGCUACCCUAUUGUAAUGGCAGCUUUCUAUGAGAAGGAUUCCUUCAAGCUGUCAGUUGGAGUGGAGGAGGGACGUGAAAAUGCUAACCACACAGGACUAGGGAAGUUUCUCUUUCAAUCUUUCCAGUUUUCCCUUUGUCUCAUUUCACCAUCCCCCCCUCCUCUCAACACACACUCACAUUUCUCUAUCAACAGUAACUUGUAUCAAGUGUGAGUCUGCAGAUUCUCCAGGACAUCUCAAUAUUUUCCUUGGAAUCUAUUUUUCAGCUUCUUACUAUUUGGGGACUGUCCAUUUUUCAUAUAUGAAUAGCUGGAUUGCUAUGCAUGUAUCCCAAGGGGAAAUUUCAUCUUGAUCUGUAGAUUUAAACACCCUGUCCAUUUAUUUGAACUUGUUAACAGCAAUCAUGAUCAUAAUUUAGAUGUUUUUAGAAUGCAGUAUUUUAUUUAUGCACUUUUAAAAAGCCUUCAUUGAAUUUGUUACAAUAUUAUUUCUGUUUUACG
ensembl:lincRNA